rnacentral:rRNA from 1 species
GACGGAGGGUGCUAGCGUUGUUCGGAAUGACUGGGCGUAAAGGGCGCGUAGGCGGCUCGUGAAGUCGGGUGUGAAAGCCCGGGGCUCAACCCCGGAACGGCAUCCGAUACUGGCGGGCUUGAGACCGGGAGAGGAGGGUGGAAUACCCAGUGUAGAGGUGAAAUUCGUAGAUAUUGGGUGGAACACCGGUGGCGAAAGCGGCUCUCUGGCCGGGAUCUGACGCUGAGACGCGAAAGCGUGGGGAGCGAACAGG